rnacentral:rRNA from 1 species
UACGAAGGGGGCUAGCGUUGUUCGGAGUUACUGGGCGUAAAGGGCGCGUAGGCGGCGCACCAAGUCAGGCGUGAAAGCCCUGGGCUCAACCCGGGAAUUGCGCUUGAGACUGGUGUGCUUGAGUACGGGAGAGGAUAGUGGAAUUCCCAGUGUAGAGGUGAAAUGCGUGGAUAUCGUGAGGAACACUAGUGGCGAAGGCGGGACUCUGGACAGCUACUGACGCUGAGGCACGAAGGCCAGGGGAGCAAACGGG